CAUGGUGAGUAUCAGAGUGCGAACAACUUAUAUUUCACAGAAGGGAGCAUUCUAGUCCCAUGGUUCUUGUCCCAUGGUUCUUGAUUUACAUAAUGUCAACAGGUUUAUACUGAACUUGUAACUAUCUGUCAUUUCUACUGAUGAAAUCAUAAUCCAAGUUUGGUUUGGUAGAGGAUUAAACUUAAAUUUGUUCUACUAACUGUUGUUUGUAUAAUUGUAUGAGCCUCCUUUUUUUUCAUUUCAAAGCUUUUUUAGCUAUGAAAAUCGACAUGUAUGUACAAUCUAUCGAAUGACAUACUGCUUGAUGGCAUCCUUCAAGUGAUGCAGACAUGUAGGAGUGGGACUACCUUUUCAAUUCUACAACUAGCUUAUAUUGACCAUUCUAGCUUAAUAUUUUACUGUCUUAAAGGGUUAUCCUGUUUUUCUGUCCACACAAAUUUACUAGUUGCCUAGAAAACUUAGUACAGAACCUUUCAUUGCCAGGCAAAGCCUUUGUUUGGAGUGGGUGAAAGUGAAACAUUAAUCUUAAUUGAUAAGUGAAGGAAUAAAGCAAACAUGUUAUGUGCAUGUUUGAUUGUUUGAAAUGAUCAUUCUACCCUUGGUCUAAAUCACCAACAGAGAUCGUUAUAAUUCACAGAUGUUCAGAUUGCCCAUCUUUAACAGUGAAAUGGAGCAUACAGGAAUUUUUUUGUAUUUACACAUAGUUUAUCAGUUCUGAUUGUUGGUACAGAUUAACUAUAGGCGCAUUCCUAAAAUUGAACUGUUUCUCACUAUCUAGGACACUUUCCUGUGGUCUCACAUGAGUGCAUGAACAAUGGAAAUGAAAGUUCAGUUGCAAAGUGGCCUAUCAUUGUUGUCAAACUCACAAUAAUACAGGUAUGUAGUGGUGAAAUACCAACUGUGAAGAUAUUUUGAGUGGCUAUCACCUCAUCUUAUUAGAGUUUUGCCCACAUCAAAGACUACUGUCCCCUGAGGUCCUGAUUAUCGGUGCGCCACGGCAGGUUUGCGCACAGUAGAAUUUGCUAGUGGUGGGGAUCUGGCCAUGAAUGAAACAUCUCAGGUUUACAUGCUUGCCACUGAGUCUGAUAUCAUUAGAGGGAUCUUCCAUUAUUAGCUGGGGCAUGGCAUCUUCACAAAGUGCUAUGUUGGGAUAUUGGCAGCCUGAAAAAAUAAAGCUUCAUGGUGGAAGCACUUGCGCCACUACCCAGACAUAUUAGCAGGGGCACUUUCUGCUGUCAAUCUCUGCCCGAUUGUAUUGCUGUCAAAAUUAUUAGUGCGUGACAGGACCUUGGUGAAAUCUUGUUCGCUGGGAAAGAUGACACACCCAAAACUGCUGGCGGCAAGCUUUCUCCAGGUUACUAGAUUUGCAAAAAGGUUCUGGCUGCUUGCCUUCUGCGUCCACCGACCACGGAGGCACACACCCUGAGUGGUGGGCCAACUGUUCUUCCUUUCCCAAUUUGGGGUCACCACUCACCACUUACUCUUCUAUGAUUCCUAGGUCCCACUCCCGCCACAAGCAAUCUUGCAAAGCGUGUGCUCUGAUCCCUCCAUAUUUGAAAAGGGUCACAAUGGAAGUGGUGUACAUAGCAGCCUUAGAAAUACUGGCACGGCUGCUAGGAGUACAGGGUUCAACUACUAGUCUCUAGUGGAAAGGUGCAUUACAGAGCAUUAUUCAGUUCAAAAUGCCUGGACAUUCUAAUGAAAUUUGUAGUUGGUAUGUGGAUGUAUCUUCAUCUGGCAGUGACAGAUCUUGUGGACCAUGUAAUUGGAAGAUUUUGCCAAAGUAAUCGAUGAUCUGAGGAAGGAAUCAUGCUGGUACCACAGCAAGGACAAUUACACCCACAACUUAUUCAUUCCAGGAAGUGUGCUAGUAGAUUUCAGGAGCCCUAGUACUAGCGUUAUAUACUCUCCUACUGGAACCUACCAAGCUGGAGGUCCUUGGAUAAUUCCUACUUCCUAAUCUACUUGGACCUACUAUUUGUGAGUGCUCCUAUUCCAAGUCGUCAACCAUGUACUAUCUAAACCAUUUCCAGCACCAUCCAAAUCUUAAAUUUGUUCAAGUAAUUAUUUCUUCUGUGAUGGUUCUAUGUAAUUUAUAAGAGUAAAAUUUUAGUGGGCAGGGAUUUCCUGGGAACACAGUGCAGACAGCAAGGAAACUUUUCUUUGAGCGCACUGCAGGGGCAGGCAGGACCCAUGUCCUCGGCCAGCGAUGCGGCGCCUAGCGAGCCAGCAGCUAUAGCUAGCGAGCACUAGAAUAACCAGAUGGAGUAGUGGACUAGGUAGUGUUGCUUCCACAUAAGGGGGAGCACUGCAGUACGCUAGAAACAAAAGCUGUUGCUUCCGAAACCAACCUUUGCUCCUAGCCUAACUUUUUUUAUUUUUCUGUUCCUUUUUGAAUGAUUAAAAGUGCCUAUGAAUCAGCAAGAAAAGAUGCACAAUUGACCCGAAAUUGAAAGUGUUAAGAGGAGUUAGGGCACCAUUGCUCAGCAAUGGUUAUAGCAAGAUGCUCUCUAUAGUGAUGUCCACAUAGGAUGUGGUAAGCUCUAUAGAUCAUCCACCCAACAGUCCUACUGCAACAUUAAUUUCAUGUGGGUCCUAUACUCCAAGCCUUAUCCUCUCCUCACGCCUCUUCUCUCCGACUCUCCCAAUGGCCAUGGCGUCAUGGUCGGCACUGCCUCAGCUCUAGCUGCCACUUCGGCUUUCACACCGCCCGCCGCCCAUGGCCAUGGCGUCGUGGCUGGUCCCCGCCGCGCGCCAUCCCCCAUCUCCGCGCCACUGCACCCCGUCCCCAACUGGAGCCCGCUCGCCCUCCCCCACGCCCGCAGCGGUGGUCUCUGCUCUUCUCCCAUGGCGCCAUGACCGAGCCCACUCGCUCCACCUCGCCCCUGCCCACCAUCACCGUUGUCGUCUCCUCCCCCAGCACCGCUGGUCCUCACCGAUUUGUUACGCAUCGGCAGACAAGCGCCGUCCCUCCGGCCUGCGGUGGCACCACCGAGGCCGUGCCCGAGCUCGCGCUGCUCCUCUCGUCGGCCCUCCCUCCUCCGCAGUGGCAUGGCUGCGCUCCGCUAUGCCCCUGCACUACUGCACGACGGGGGACUGGCGGCCUUGUGCAUGGCUGGCCUCUACCUCCUCAUCCCCAGUCCCUCCCCGCGCCGGGCACAUGCCGUCGCCAUGCCUGCUCGCGCCAGUGGCCACACCUCCUCCCGCGAGUCGCGGACAUCGCAAGAAUCCUCGCCGGUGGCCUGGUGCGCUCGUCGUCCCACCUUGCGCUGCCGCUGAUGCCCCGUCUCGUCUUGCGGCACUGGUCAUGCCUAGUGGAGGAGUCGAGAGACUGCCGGAAUGCAAGAUCGUGGUGAUAAGACGACCGAAGGAGAGAAAAGAUGGAACUGAUUACUGAGCACCUGGUGGGACCUGCUUAGCACGGGGACGUGUGCUAGCGGCCCUCGCCAGCUCUAGCGGCAGCACCUUCUCUCUCCAUGCUUCUCUCUUAUACGUGGCUCUAGCUACAGCACCUUCUCUCUCCUCGCUUCUCUCUCCUACGUGGCUCCCUUGUAGAGAGCUUAACGGCAUCAUUGUGCGUUCCCUUAAUGAGUUGGGAGUCCCAAAGGCACAUGAUAUGGCCACCUAACCACCUUGAAUUAUCCGAACUUUUAAAGGGUAAGGUUUAUUUGGACAGUGUUUGUUUCAGUUUAGCUGUCGAAGCAGUUUGGACCUCGUUUUCCUCCCCCAAUUUACAACUGUAGGAGCCAUUGAUUUGCUUUUCUUGCUUUUGUGUACGUUGUUCUCCCCAUGGUUUGCUUUUGCCAACAUUCACAUAUUAAUUUACAAAAAAAAAGGGGGAAAGAAUAUCAUGAUUGCUACUCUUUUCACUAAAUUGUACAGUACUCCGUACUAUAUGCAGUGGACCUAAGCGCAUUAUAGCAGUAAAUGAAAACCAGAAAAUUCUGGAAAAUUUUGGGGCAUCAAAUUCCAUGCAUCAGCUAAGCAUUUAUAACAACUAGUGUGCACGGAAAGUAAGCAUAAUUCCUUUUGGAAGAAAGAACUUGACAGUGACUUCCAAAGGUAAGAAAAGCGUAUUGAAUCAAACAACUGCAUGCAUUUCGAGUUCACAUUCCAAUUGCUUCGUGGCAAGAAUAGUUCGGCAAGACAAGGAGA